GGAUACCCGCUGAACUUAAGCAUAUCAAUAAGCGGAGGAAAAGAAACCAACAGGGAUUGCCCUAGUAACGGCGAGUGAAGCGGCAACAGCUCAAAUUUGAAAUCUGGCGCAAGCCCGAGUUGUAAUUUGUAGAGGAUGCUUCUGGGCAGCGGCCGGUCUAAGUUCCUUGGAACAGGACGUCACAGAGGGUGAGAAUCCCGUAUGUGAUCGGUUGGCACCCGCUACGUAGCUCCUUCGACGAGUCGAGUUGUUUGGGAAUGCAGCUCUAAAUGGGAGGUAAAUGCCUUCUAAAGCUAAAUACCGGCCAGAGACCGAUAGCGCACAAGUAGAGUGAUCGAAAGAUGAAAAGCACUUUGGAAAGAGAGUUAAAAAGCACGUGAAAUUGUUGAAAGGGAAGCGCAUGCAACCAGACUUGUCCGCGGUGUUCCGCCGGUCUUCUGACCGGUCUACUCGCCGCGGGCAGGCCAGCAUCAUCUGGGAGCGCCGGAUAAAGGUAGCGGGAAUGUGGCCCCUCGGGGUGUUAUAGCUCGCUACACAAUACGGCGCCUCCCGGGUGAGGUCCGCGCUUCGGCUAGGAUGCUGGCGUAAUGGUUGUAUGCGGCCCGUCUUGAAACACGGACCAAGGAGUCUACCAUCUAUGCGAGUGUUCGGGUGUCAAACCCCUACGCGCAAUGAAAGUGAACGGAGGUGGGAACCGCAAGGUGCACCAUCGACCGAUCCUGAUGUCUUCGGAUGGAUUUGAGUAAGAGCAUAGCUGGUGGGACCCGAAAGAUGGUGAACUAUGCCUGAAUAGGGUGAAGCCAGAGGAAACUCUGGUGGAGGCUCGCAGCGGUUCUGACGUGCAAAUCGAUCGUCAAAUUUGGGUAUAGGGGCGAAAGACUAAUCGAACCAUCUAGUAGCUGGU
rnacentral:rRNA from 1 species